GACGUAGGGCGCGAGGCGUUGUCCGGAUUUAUUGGGCGUAAAGGAGCUCGUAGGCGGCUUGUCGCGUCGACUGUGAAAACUUGGGGCUCAACUCCAAGCGUUGCAGUCGAUACGGGCAGGCUAGAGUUCGGUAGGGGGAGACUGGAAUUCCUGGUGUAGCGGUGAAAUGCGUAGAUAUUGGGGAGGAACACCAGUGGCGAAGGCGGCUCACUGGACCGGUACUGACGCUGAUGCGCGAAAGCGUGGGGAGCAAACGGGG
rnacentral:rRNA from 1 species